rnacentral:tRNA from 1 species
CAUUAAAUGGCUGAAAGUAAGCGCCGGUCUCUUAAACCGCAAGAUAUCACUUUCACACGUGAUUUUAAUGA